GCAGCUGGUGAUAGGGCCUCCCUUAUCAUUCUGAUCCUGCCAGUGUCUACCACAGCUUCUCUCUGACCUGUACUCACAUUUCAGCCUGUGUUCCUCUGUGGCCAGGAACACUUUCAUUUUAUUUCAGGCUCACUUUCAUUCACUGUUUCACCAUGCACCCAAGGAAGUGUGCCCGCUGGGUGGGCCUCUCCCUAAUAUCUCUCUCCCUAGUGUGCAUGAUGGCCAAUGCUCUCCUAUUGGUGCCUGAUGGGAAGACCUGGAGCUCAGACCAACUCAGCUUGCAAGUCCUGCUCAUGCCUGGCUUCAUCGGCGGGGGAUUGAUGGUGAGGUGUGUAUAGAGCACAGGCCAGUCAUCAGGGUGCUGUGUCUGGGAAUUGCACUGGUUCGGGAAGCUAAUGACUAUGACUGCCCGGAGUGGUGUUUACCCAUCUGCUUUAUCGAGGGACUACUUGGUGCCAUCUACUGCCUCACCAUGUCAGCAGAAGGACUCAGAAUUGGACCCAAAUGCUCAAUAAAUGGCAAGUGGGACUAUCACUUCCAACGAGAUGAAUACUUGAGCCACCCUGAUGACUGGAAUAUCUGUGAGGAGCCAUCCAAUGUGGUGUCCUGGAAUGUGACACUCUUCUCCUUGCUGGUGGUUGUCUCCAGCCUGGAGAUCCUCCUGAUUUUCAGCGGCUAUUGCUUCACUUGUAUUGCUGUUUCAGAUGAACCCAGAUCAAAUCCAUUUUAAAGUCAUAAAAAGUUAAUUUCUGUUUUACUAUAAAUUACUGCGAUUUCCA